AGUAGAGAUGCUACAUGUUUCAAAACCAGUAUUUAAUUCUUUGGAUUCCAUUAACAUGAUGAUGUUAUAUAUAUUAUACUAGAAUGGCGUUUACCAUAUGAUUAAUUUGAUGACUGAAAUUUAAAAAAUAUCAGGGUCAAAAUGUCAUAAGUUGCAUUCCUUAUUCCUUGCACAUUUCGAGAGUGUCUAUGAUCUUAGCAUCUUGUUGGCCGCAAACUCUACAAAAUGAAAGAAAAUUUAGAUCAAAAAUGUUAUUCUUAUUAUCUAUUUAUACCAUUUCUUUAAUAGUGAUGAAACUCACAUAUGUUGAUGGACUCUAUCUCUAUUAGAGUUGAUACAAAUGAUGGUACGAAUAGAUCGUAAGUGUAACACUACUCAAUUUAAAUUAGAAUUCGAUCGCCUCAUUAUAAUAUAUGAUGCCAAAGUUACAAAACCAAAAUAUAAUAAACCAAAAAAUAUAUGUUUCAUAAUUCAUAGUUCCCUUCUUAAAACAAACAUAUUAUAGUAAAAAAUUAUGGAAUAGUAUUUGAACAUAUUGAUUCCUCAAAACUUCAUUUUACAAUAUCGACAGAAAUUAUAAAAACAAGGUUUUAAAUUUGUAGUUUAUUGUUAGUGGUGGAUUGUCUUAUUGAUUAGGGUCUUUUUCUUUAACUCACUUAAGCACCGUGAUGUGGGACAUUUAUUUUUAAAUCCACAAUCCAAGUUCCAACAAAGAAAAAAAUUGAAGUUGCACAUAGAUGAAUGGAAUAUGAAGAAGAACAUGGAAAAUGGAAAGACAUUCUACAACUUGGCAUACACCACAAAGUGCAGAAAAUGGUAAGCAUAGAAGCAAGCAUCUCCAACAGAAUCCACAAAACUAAAUUUGAAGUACCAUGGACUGUUCACAAGAAAUGGAUCCCCACAUCAACUAUUCACAAAUAUCUAUACUGACAAUAGCCACAAAUAUCUAACAAAAACUAUGCACAAAUACAAAAAUAGUUUUAAGCUCUCGUUUGAUAAUUAUUCUAGUUUUUAAUUUCCAUUUUUCUUUUUGUAAAACCUUGUAUAAAAACUGUCUUUAAUGUUUAAUUUUCCGAAAUGAUAACUGAAAACAGAAUUCAAGCAAUUUUUAUUUUUUGGUAUUGAAUUUACCAUCCACAAUAUUUGAACUUAAACCCUUUUACUUUCAAAUGAAGAAGAAUACCAUCAGACCGUGUACUGAAUAGCUCUCAAGCAAAAUAUUAAAAAAAUACAAAAUAAUAGCUUCUAAUUCUCAAUUUAAUUAUAAAAAAUAAAAAUAAAAAUGAAAAAAUUGUUAAACAACUCCUACAAAACCCCAUUCUUAUUGAAAAAAAAAGUCAUAUAAACUACCUAUGUCAAUCACAUUAGGAAUUAACUUUAUAUAAAACUAUUCUUGCCGGCGACGAUGGUAAGUGUUAAACCAAUCCAGUUAUGAAAUGUCAUGCAUGUGUGUCAUGCACAUAGUUUGAUAUGACAAUUUUAUGAAAGCUUUUCUCUGCAUUAUGUGACAAGGAGUGUGUUAAUUACUAACUAGGCGUUGUAUAAUUCGCGUGACAUAUACGUAGACUCCACAUGCCACAUAAUCUAGCUAAUAUAGUUUAAAAAAAAAAAAAAAAGGGGGGGGGGGGG